GUGAGUUCCAGUGGGGCAAAAGGAGUUAUGUGUCUGCUUAUACUAUCUGGGUUAGAGUCUCAGUCCCUUUUGGGUCAGCCGAUGCCUUGACGGGGCUGGGUGGGUACCCCCUGCUGUAGGUGGUGCAGCUGGUGCGAUCUCCUUGGCGUGUGGGUGCUGAGAUCCCCUGGGCUGUUCUGAGUUGCUGUGGGUGCUGUGUGUAGCUUCACCUGCCUUGUUUGGGGUGGUCUUGUGCUUGUCUUCGGCGGUUCCCCCCGCUUCCCCGCCUUGCCUGGGAGAUGCCGGUGUUUGACCACUCGCCGCCUUCCAGCAUCCGCUUUUUUGGGUUGUGCGUGUUGCCUCUGCCCCUGCCACUUCGGGUAAGUGUCGCCCUUUUGCUGCCUCUGCCGUUGGGGCUGUGUUGCUCUUUUUCCCCGUCUGGCAUCUUGUGGGGUACCCUG